CUGGAGCAAGAUCUUGAACUCCCCCCACCUUUUCCUUCCUACUCUGUUCUGUCUCCUUGUUCAGUGGCAACAUCUUCCUCCUGCUCCUCUGCAAACUGUACCCCUGAGUCUUGUUUCACAGAUAGAGCCCCAUCUUGAGCUUCUGGGAGCCAGUAAGUUUGUACAUGACAUUGGGUCAUAAUUCCUAAUAUCUCCCACAAUUUCCAGCCUUUUGGUGCCAGAUCAGACCAUUACACCUGCCAGCAAAUCCUACCAUAUAGGAGACAGCCAGUGUGGGAUGCUCAAGAGCCAUCCUCCCCAAGGAUCACAGAGCAGAUGGUAGGGCACACCCUGAAAUUUCUGAUGCUUAGAAUUUAGUCAGAUUUUUAGGAUUUUUUAGCUCCAAAAAAAGUUGGGUUUGACUUCCCUUGCAUCUUCAGGGAAUGCAAGAAGAGGCUGUGUAAGCUAACAUGAGACCACAGGACCUGAGUAGUGAUGAUCUACGGAUUAAAAAGAUCCUGCUACUUCACUGCCAGGUUUCCCAUGCUGUUUACAAGGAAUAAAUGGUGAUACUGAUAAAACUCUUGAAUUUAUACGUUACCAACUUAACUUUCAUAUGAUAAUUUAAAAGCACAGGAGUUUAGCUCUACUUCAGAGAGAUUCGAGCAUCAUGAAAAGCUGGCUGCCAGCAAAAAUCAUUCUGAGAAGAAAUAGGAGAGGAACAAAGAAAGAGACAUACACAGAGCAACCUGGAGAUGUUACAGGACUCCAUCAGAGCUGACUCUGGCUACAAGCAAAGCAGACUGCUGCCCAAAACAGCAGGGAGACAAAGGCAUAGGAGCGUUCUCCUCGGUGUCCUUCCUCCUGUGUGGCAGCGGAUCCUGACUGAUGGCCCUGUUGCUGGCAACUGGAAUCAGGGAUAUGAAGAGCCAGCCUUUGAGGCCACCUCCAGGAUUCGUGCUGGUGAUCACAAACAUCACAGCUGUUCCUGCUUCCACACUCCCAGGAAAGUUUGGCACUUUAAGAGGAUUCACCUGCAGUUUCCAACAGUUUCCAUCAUUUCCCAAGGUUGUUGAUCAGGUGUUUCCAAGACCAAGACUGUCUAGCAGGCUCAGCCAUCCUUUGGCCUAAAGUUUCAUUCUUUUCUUCACUGCUCUUCUGUUCAAGCCUUGCUCAUGUCACCAGUGCCCACUGUCUAUCACCAGCUGCUUAUUUCUUUUAAAAUAUCUUACAAAAUUUCUUAAACCAGUCUAUCCUCUUAUUUUAUGC
rnacentral:lncRNA from 1 species